rnacentral:lncRNA from 1 species
CGAGAUAGAAAAAACAUUAUUAAACUACAACGAGACGACCAAUGAUCUAGGGAGUUCACUUCGCUCUCCUACCAAUGGAUACGAAUCUUUGGUUAAUGUUGUUAACCAACAAGAAAGAAAUGGUCCUACGAAGCAGCCACUUUAAAUAAUUGAAUAAAACAAAAUACCGAUUAUUCAGUUGGUGGACACCCGGUAUAUUAAUCUAUUUUUGUAUAUUGCAAAUAAAAAGAAUUAAAAAUAAA